rnacentral:lncRNA from 1 species
GGAAGAUGUAUCUCCAGGUCCAAUUCUGGGAGAGGACUUCUCUGAGCAAGCACUUGGAUCACUCAAGGCAUCCAGGUGCUUUUCUUGGUCAGGUGAGCCUAGUGAGGAAACUGGCCCAAGGAGUGGCUGCUCCUUUGAGAAGAGGAGCUUGGCUUCAACCACUGAGGCUGCUUGUUUAUGUGGAUAUGGCAUUUCCCAAAGUUGUCACUUUGGCUUCUCCCAAACUGUGGAACCAUCAACUGAACUUCACCCUUGUGCCCUCUCCAAACCAAUAUCCCAGGGAAGCUGCAGCCAGUGGGCAUCUUCCUGGGCCCUGCAGGGAACCCAAGGGCCAGAGAACUAUAACACACACACCUCCUUUUAUGGACGAGUGAAGUCACCACUGCAUAUUCAGGAGCAAGGCUGGACAGUGGAACAGUUGUACUCAAAGGAACACUCAAGGUCUUUUAGGUGUGCAGAGGAACCCCCACAUCGAUUGCAGCAGCCACACCUCAACCAGCCAUCAGCCCUGCAGCCCUUGGUGCCCCAGGCCCCCACCUUCCAGGUACAACAGUUGACCUCAUCUCAACAUCAGUCACAGGAGCUUCAAGACCAAACGCUGCCACCACCAUUGAAGGAGGAAGAGCAGUCAUAUGAAUUGUUCUGUUCUUUUAACCAACAAGAACUGCACUCCACUGAUGUAUCCAAGAGAACUGCUGGACUUGGUUCUACAUUGCUUCUUCCUGAUGGACAUCUAGCUGCCUCCCAAGGACAUCUUCCUGCCCCACAGGGACAUCUGGGUGAUCCCUUGAGAGAUCUGGCUGACCACCAGGGAUACCUCAUUGACACACAGGGACAUCUGGCUGUUCCACUGGAAAAUCUCCCUGUCCCCCAUGGACACCUAGCUGACCCCAUCGGCAAUCUGGCUGACAUCCCAGGAAGUCUGACUGAGACACCAAAUAACCAGAUCCAAGAAUUUCAGAUUUCUAGAUAUCUGAUUAAAUGACAAUUUCCAGUAAUGUCAGAAUUUGGAUUUUUAGUUACUCAAGGAAUGUGGAUAUAAUGGUGUGAAAGGGCACUCUAAUACAAUCCUUCAUCUUGCUUUGUCAGUCCAAAGGACUCCCUGUUUGACUUGUUCAACAAAGCAAGACUAUAUGUGGGGGAGACUAUUGGAGGCUAGAUCAGAGGGAUCUUCAGUCUAAGGUGAGGACACUUGAUUGAGAAGCAACUGUCCUCAUGGGCUAUAAAAGUAAGCUAAGCUGGAUGUCCUCAAAGACCAUCAUCUCUUUUUGGCCUUUGCAUCUACAAGACCUUAGAUAAUGACAUAAU